UGAGGAAUAUUGGUCAAUGGGGGCAACCCUGAACCAGCCAAGUCGCGUGAAGGAUGAAGGUCUUAUGGAUUGUAAACUUCUUUUAUACAGGAAUAAAUUGGGGGACGUGUCCCCUUUUGCAUGUACUGUAUGAAUAAGGAUCGGCUAACUCCGUGCCAGCAGCCGCGGUAAUACGGAGGAUCCGAGCGUUAUCCGGAUUUAUUGGGUUUAAAGGGUGCGCAGGCGGGAUGUUAAGUCGGCGGUGAAAUUUUGCAGCUCAACUGUAAAAGUGCCUUCGAUACUGGCUUCCUUGAGUGUAGAUGAAGUAGGCGGAAUUUGUGGUGUAGCGGUGAAAUGCUUAGAUAUCACGAGGAACUCCGAUUGCGCAGGCAGCUUACUAAACUACAACUGACGCUCAUGCACGAAGGCGUGGGGAUCAAAC
rnacentral:rRNA from 1 species